AAACAAGAUUAAAUCUGUUGAUCUGUGAAUGAAAUAAAACAACAAAUUUACUGAAAAGGUCUGUUGUUUUUGUUGACUAAAACCAAACUGCAACACAUUCAUCGCAAAUUAAAUGAAGCCAAAGCGCCAACAUCUUAUAGAUCCUUGAAUGGCCCCUUGAGACUGCCUCAAAAGACCCCCUUGUUAACAUGCUGAACUUUAACACCUGUACGAGCAUGUGUCUGUUUUCAUCAAAAUCGGUAUUCGUUUGCGUGAACAUUGCAACACUAACGGUCAAAAAAUCGACAGGGCGCCUUUGAAUUAUCCACUUGCCAACUAUAACAUACAGGACAUUUGUCCCUAGAUUGCCCCCUUUAUUGCGUGUAGCGGACCACAAAGAGGCCAGUAACAGCUUCAUCCAGCCUCUGCUGCAGCCACACUGUUAAACUUCCCCAUCAAUAUGCGUCCAUUCUGCUGUCAUUGCUGCCACCUGAGUCCGUCUCUGCUGUGUCCCUGACUGAUUAUGAAGGUGGGACAACUUCACACUUUUAGUGGGCGAGCCAUCAUGCCCCUUUGCAGACCUCAGGAUGCUUGUGUACUUUUUCCUCUUCCCUGCUCUUGACUGAUAUCUGGGCUGCCCAGAACCGCCAAAGCAGGAUCAUCUUAAGGUGGAUAGAGAAGGACUUUCACUAUCAUAACCCUGUGGAUUAACUGGUGCGUUCUCUAUGCUGAUAUGAAAGUGCACUGCAUUGCAGGCAGAGUAUAUAAGUCAAAGGUGCAUUGUUUGAGUGUGUCAGUGUUUCGUUCGAUGGCAGCGAUUUGCAUUCAUUAGUUUGUUUUUUAAACAUAUGUAAAUACAUGUAAUAGAGUAUGGAACGUUGCCAAAUAAUGGAAAUUAGCAACAAUAAAGGACAAGUAGGAAAACGAAACGCCAAAGCAAUAGGAGGGAGGCAGGAUAACAUUAACAAACCAUUUAAAAACUUCCUCUACCACUAGUAGCCACCACUCACAGCUACAACAUAUUGACUUUUGUAGCCCUAGUGUGCAUCAUGUUACAUCGACUCUAAAACGGAGUAUUCGAGAUUGGAAAAUGGUCACAUUCACCCACCAGGUUGCUGUUAUUAAAACUGUGUCAAGCAAUUGAACAUUGGCAGUCCAAUGUCAAUAGAAUCCAAUAUCAACAUAAUUAAAAAUGAUUCAGUUUCAUCAAAAAGGAGCUAUAUGGCCGACACAGCUUGUUAGCAUCUGGUUUUAAGUUGAUAAUUAACAACUAGAAAUAUGUGAUUCAAGUAUUGUUGAUAAGUCGAGGCGUCCCCAUUUGCUGUGACUAAGGGGCUGACUAAGAGAGUAACCAAAGAGCUAUUUGAAAAUGGUCCUACAUGGUAACAGCAGCAUGUUCUCAGUUGCAAAGCACGUCAUUAAUGUAGCUACUGACAUCUGAAUGUGAUAUGUUGACAUUCCUGCAGGAGCUCUUAAUAGGACUGCACGGUAUGGCGAAAACCACGGUUUUCACGGUAUUAAGAAAAAUUCCUGGUCCUGGUAUAUCAUGGUAUUGCUUUUUUAAGUAAACACAUUAAUUCAUUGACCCCGAAAAAGAUGGAACUGGUGUUCGGGUAGCCGCUGGCCAACUUGCUCGUAACUGGCCGGCUAGUUAGCUUACAAUAACUUUGCAAUAAAUCGUUAUCUGAUCCAAGGUAACUUACGACGGAUUUUCCAAAACCCCCAAAAAAGUUGGUUUGGUGUAUCUCUGGUCUCUCGUUGUUCCUCCUGUAUUGCUUAUUUCCGUGUGGCAUUAGAGUUACUUCUUGUUGUGAGCUGUACCCAGCCUGCCAAUCUGUACCCAGCAGUUUGGUCAUUUUUUUAUAAAUGUACAAUUAUUGGUGUUACAAACUGUUUAUGUGUCAUAAGCUGUUGUGUUGUGGUGUUUUACCCCAUUAAAGAGUGUUUGUUGUGGGUUAUUCAUUUUUGUCAUAAAGUUACAACCAUGACUCCAUCUCAACACACAUAAGACAAGUAGCUCCAACCGCUGGGUGCUCCGUGAUGACGUGUAGAAAUAAGAUUACCUUCAGUUGUUGUGGCGUAACACCGGUAUAAACUGUAUGUGAGAAAUUCAUACCAUAUGGAAAUCUUAUACCAUUUGUACCGGUACACUGGGCAGCCCUAGAUCUUAAUAAAAUUAUUGGCCCCUGCCAGGCAGAAGGUUGUGUUUAAUAGACUACUUUAUAAAAAGCUACAGAACAAUUGGUAAAGUGACUCAGCACAGUCUCCCAUUUUCAGCUUUGAAUUAACAGCUCUCUGUAAAGGUGACCUGAUUAGGCAUUGUUCCAUCUGGACCACAUUUGUUUCAAGUGCACCUAAGAACCUUCAGACUGAAUAGCGAGCUGAGAAUGAACAGCAGAGACACCUCCAUGAGAAAACAUUGAUUCCACUUCUAUGGUCACAUAUGUUUGAUUACAUUUUUUGAGAAAAUGAUAGAUUCUAGAGAGUGAGAUCUAUUUCAGCUGGGGGGCAGUGUGUAAAUUCUACUCAGGUUUGAGGUGGAGGGACCUUUUGUUUGCAGUAUUCACACUAGGUGUGGCUUAUUACAUCAAUAUAUGUGUCUGCAGUAGACAUCAUGCCUGCACAUGGUGGCUCCUCGGGGGCACUAAUGUUUCUCUCACAACAACUAUGCCACAUUCACAUGCACUCACCAAAAGUAAUUCACGCCAAACGGUCAAAUCACUGGCGAUCUGAGGUGAUUUCUGAGGUUACAUUGUAAACAAGAGACAGUAGGAGUGUUAAAAAUAACUGCAUAUCAGAGGAGGAUGUUUACAUAAUCUCUUUUAGAGACUAAUCUCAAUGACCACAGCGACAUUAAAACCUCAAUUCUGCAUUUUCCGAACGGAAGGCGCAGUGGCUGCCCAACUGGAAAUUCACAUCCCUUCGGUGUUAGAUAAGGUUGUAAUAAGAUAAAGUCAAAGUCUAAACUAAUCUGAUAUUUUACCUCAGUGAGAGAACGGAAAGAUAUGAAAACGUAUUAGGAGUGGGCACUAAGAGGAUUAGACAAUGGAAACGGAUGUGUGCCGGAGUUUUUAAUCCAGUCAUGCUUAACACUUUCAAGCCGCCCAAUCUGCCACGCACAAACAAUGAUUAUUUAGUCUCGCUUUCGCUGGAGUCGUUGCAGUUGUUGCAGACCGCACACACACAUUAACACACACACACACACAAAGCACUUGUAUGCCAACACACACAAGCUCCUUUGUACUGCUAAUGUAAUUUUGGUUUGUGUAAAAUAAGACAUCAGAUCUGUAUUAUGGUCACAUCUUUUAUACCAUGACACAAGGGAAGUCCAGAGUACAGCGGAGGCCCUUUUGCAGGAUGUCACUUGCUCUUCCUGUUCAUCACCAAAACUCUGUGAGAGGAUCAUGGCAGUGUGGAAGAGAGAGGAGGGAGAGGAGCUGAAGAAUAAUCUGCUCCCCCAACCAGACGCAGGGUUGACUCCGUUUGGUAAAGCUCACUGACAGAUGCUUAGAGUAAGAGUAAAAGGAAAGGUGUUCGGCAGUGACAUGUGAAAUAGAGGGCAUACUGCCGAGCCCCCUGCAUUGCAGAUGUACUCCACUGCGCCACAUGAGGAACAAGGCAGCGAUGUGGAGGAACAUCUUUUGAGAGAACUUGGUGAAGCAGGAUAUUGUUUGUUUUUCUUGUGAUUUUUCUUAGAAUACUAAUUAACAAUAGUGACUGAAUGAAUAUGCAGAUUAUAAUGCAGUAAAACUCUGCAGUGACAGGAAUAAAUGGUUUAAGUCAAAUGUCAUAAUAUGAUAUGAGAAGAAAUCAACGGAUAUACAAAGUAUCUGUGGGAGUACAAGUAUGCAUAUUCUUCUUGCUGUCAUUUCUAUUGAAAUGGAGUU
ensembl:lncRNA